UUGCCAUCCUUCUAGGGCUUCUGGAAAAAUUGGAUUAGAUUCUGCCCCUGAGUCCCAGGGCACCUCAGUGGCUCAGUCAGUUAAGCAUCUGCCUUUGGCUCAGAUCAUGAUCCCAGGGUCCUGGGAUUGAGCACCGUGUGAGGCUCCCUGCUCUGCGGGGAGUCUGCUUCUCCCUCUGCCCCCUUAGCGUGUUCUCUCUUUCUCAAAUAAAUAAAAUCUUUUUUUUUUUUUUAAAGAGAGACAUUCUGCCCCCAAGUCCUCUUUUGACUCUAUCGUGGUGUCCAAUUUGAGACCUAAGGGUGGAGACAGGGGCCAACAUGGAUCUUCCCGUGGACAUCAGCUGAGCCCAGAAGCCUCACCCCUCGGGAGACCAUGGAAAGGGACAGCAGCCGGGUGAGUGGUUACAGGCCUUGGGCCAGAACUUCCCAGCGCCGGGGAAGCAGGGGCAGGGCUGCAAGAUAGGUGGGGCCCGGCCACCUGUAUGCCU
rnacentral:lncRNA from 12 species